AGAGUUUGAUCAUGGCUCAGAUUGAACGCUGGCGGCAUGCUUUACACAUGCAAGUCGAACGGUAACGCGGGGGCAACCCUGGCGACGAGUGGCGAACGGGUGAGUAAUACAUCGGAACAUGUCCUGGAGUGGGGGAUAGCUCGGCGAAAGCCGGAUUAAUACCGCAUACGCUCUGAGGAGGAAAGCGGGGGACUCGUAAGGGCCUCGCGCUGCAGGAGUGGCCGAUGUCGGAUUAGCUAGUUGGUGAGGUAAAGGCUCACCAAGGCGACGAUCCGUAGCUGGUCUGAGAGGAUGAUCAGCCACACUGGGACUGAGACACGGCCCAGACUCCUACGGGAGGCAGCAGUGGGGAAUUUUGGACAAUGGGGGCAACCCUGAUCCAGCCAUGCCGCGUGAGUGAAGAAGGCCUUCGGGUUGUAAAGCUCUUUCGGACGGAACGAAAUGGUUAGCGUGAAUAUCGCUGACUGAUGACGGUACCGUAAGAAGAAGCACCGGCUAACUACGUGCCAGCAGCCGCGGUAAUACA
rnacentral:rRNA from 1 species